rnacentral:rRNA from 1 species
AGCUAACGCAUUAAGCAAUGCGCAUGGGGACAACGGUAUCAAGAUUAAAACUCAAAGGAAUUGACGGGGCCCCGCACAAGCGGUGGAGCAUGUGGUUUAAUUUGAAGCAACGCGCAGAUCCUUACCUCCUUUCGACAUGCCUGGACCGCCAGAGAGAUCUGGCUUUCCCUUCGGGGACUAGGACACAGGUGCUGCAUGGCAGUAGUCAGCUAAGUGUCCUGAGAUGUUGAGCAGAGUCGAAGGGCGAGCGCGACCCUCUCCAUUAGUUACCAUCCGGAUAACGCUACUCUAAUGGGAAUUCCCGGUGCGAAGCCGGACGC